rnacentral:tRNA from 1 species
GCCCUGGUGGCUUAGCAGGUAAAGCGCAUCCUUGGUAAGGAUGAGAUCCCGGGUUCAAAUCCCGGCCAGGGCU